AGAGGUAAAAUCUUAUGAUGCAGAGAAAAAUAGAUGUUCUUAGCUCAAAGAAACAGAAGGUGGCUGAGCACUCAUAUGGAACCACAAAUUCGGACUCAUCUACCCCAGCCACAAUAAAUAUUAGCUUACAGACGGAGCAAGAUGAUUAUGUGGAGAAUGAGGAUCUGCCAGCAUAUUACAGAGAUAAUUGUAGUAACGAUAAGGUUUGCACACCAAACUUAACACAUGGAUGCAAAGCAAUAUAUUCUGUUCAUGUUGCUAAAUACCGUUAUUGCCACUGCUUUCUGAGUUUUCUAAUAGAAUGGCAGUAUACUGUUCUAUGAACUUUAUCAAAUUGUUGUAUUAAACAAGCACAUAUUACAGGUUGUCUCAAAGGAAACAUAUGCUACUCCCUCAAUUUUUGAAGCAUCUCAGUACCAAAUAAAUAUCUUUCUAGCAUUGAUAUUUUUGUUAGCUUAUUUUCCACAACUAAGUUAUCGAUUUUGACUUGUUACCAGCUGAACAAGAUCUCAAAAAGGCCUAGUGCAUCGGUACCUGCUAGUGUAUAAGACACAUCGCUUAAAACUUCAUUUUAUCCUUUUCUUAAUUGUUCUUACAACUGGAGUCUAAGAAUCCCCAUAUAUACUUUUGUAGAAGAAUCAUCGUGGUACAGCAAGUUUGUCAACUGGCAAUACAAUGAAGGUUGGCACCAAAGUAUACUUACAGAGAUGGAAAAAUCGAAACAAGACUGUUGCAAUGGGUAAACUAGUGAGUUGUGAUCCAAAACAGAAACUUGAUGGUGUUCAGCUAGGCAAAGAAUUUUGGAUGGUUUCUGUUAGUUUUGUAAUGGUAGAAGAUGAACCAUUGAUACGACCAUACAAAAACUACAAGGUUCUUAGAGAUGUAGAAGGAGGAGCCCAUGUUGCAUGGCCUUCAACUUUUAUCGAGAAGAUAGAUAUAUGAUCACAGCAGAGGAACGCUUGACUGAGGUGAAGGAAGGAGAAAGGAGGACAACUAGUAUGCUAAGAGGGAUCUUUUAUAUGUUUCAUAUUUGCUCACAUAGUAACAUGUGCUCUGUAAAAAAAAUGUGUCAUGAAUUUAGAUGGUACUUUGU